AGCCUCAGUCAGGGGGUCCUACGGAAAUCAACAAAAGCAAGUCAGAUGUAAUCAUGCUGGAGCUAAGUUGAAUGUCCAGCCACCCUCCUCAAGGUCCGUAACACCAUCAGCAGCCAUGUGGAGCAGGUAUUUCAGGCCUAUGAGCAGCAUGCGGCUGUGCUGGACAUUGAUGCCGUCCUGCGCCCCUCAGUUGUGAGCCCCUCUGUGGCUGACAUGUUGGAGUGGCUGCAAGACAUCGACAGACAUUAUGGAAGCUCGUACCUGAAGAGAAAGUACCUCAUCUCCUCCAUCCACUGGGGAGACUUGGCCGGUAUCCAAGCACUGCCCAAGGCCUGGGACCAGAUUUCAGAAGAUGAGUGCCAAAGCCUUGUGUCAGAUGUCCUGCUGAGUGUCUCCUUCUUCCUGGAGGAGCCAGGAGGCUGUGCAGUGUCUGGAGAUCUGGAGCACCGCAGCUGAGGGCUGCCAUUGCUACCCUAGGCUCUUUCUACGUGUGGGUCAGCAUUGCUACCUGACUCACUGGAAUAGCAGUGCCUACGGUAGAGGCCCUGGGACUUCUCCAUGCUAGGC
ensembl:processed_transcript